GCCUGAGUGGCUCAGUGGUAAGCGUCCGACUUCAGCUCAGGUCAUGAUCUUACAGUUUGUGGGUUCAAGUCCUACGUCGGGCU
rnacentral:tRNA from 1 species